rnacentral:tRNA from 1 species
CGGAACGUAGCGCAGCUUGGUAGCGCACCUGCUUUGGGAGCAGGUGGUCGCUGGUUCGAAUCCAGUCGUUCCGACCA